UUGGGAGAUGUAUAGUCCUCUUAUGAGGCUAGUUAUCUUUACUAAGAUAACCCUUAAGGUUAUAUAGUAAAGAUGAUACCAACUACGUUGGCUAAAGUUCUAGAUAGAAGACUGAUUAUGACAAUUUUUUAUCUAAAUGUCUUGACCAAAUUACGUGCCAGCAGYCGCGGUAAUACGUAGAAGACUAGUGUUAUUCAUCUUUAAUAGGUUUAAAGGGUACCUAGACGGCAUUAUUAACCUUAGACAAGGAAAUAUUUUUGCUAGAGUUUUAUACGAGAAGGGGAGAAUUUAUAGAGUAGAGAUAGAAUGUUGUGAUACUAUAAAGACUGACAAGGGCGAAAGCGGCCUUUUAUGUAAAAACUGACGUUGAGGGACGAAGGCUUGGGAAGCAAACAGGAUUAGAUACCCUGGUAGUCCAUGCAGAAAAUGAUGAAUGCCAUAGAUUAGAUACCCAUUUGGUUUAUAAAUGAAAGUGUAAGCAUUCCACCUCAUGAGUAAUGUGGCAACGCAGGAACUGAAAUCAUUAGACCGUUUCUGAGAACAGUAGUGAAGUAUGUUACUUAAUUCGAUAACCCACGAAAAACCUUACCACAACUUGAAUAUACACUCUUAUUAAGGAGUGUUUACAAGCGUUGCACGGUUGUCUUUAGCUAAUGUCGUGAGAUUUUGGUUAGUUCCAUAAAAUUAGCGUAAACCCCGGCUUUAUUUUUAAAUUAAAAUUAUAAUAUAUUAUAAUUAUUGUGAUAAAGUAGUUCAUCAUUAUAUAGAAUAUAACGAUAA
rnacentral:rRNA from 1 species